rnacentral:rRNA from 1 species
GACAGAGGGUGCAAACGUUGUUCGGAAUUACUGGGCAUAAAGAGCACGUAGGUGGUGCGCUAAGUCACGUGUGAAAUCCCCCGGCUCAACCGGGGAAUGGCGCGUGAUACUGGCGGACUCGAGGCGGGUAGGGGUGAGCGGAACUCCAGGUGGAGCGGUGAAAUGCGUAGAUAUCAGGAGGAACACCAAUGGCGAAGGCAGCACUCUGGGACGUGACUGACGCUGAGACGCGAAAGCGUGGGGAGCAAACAGG